AUGGCGGAACAGUGGAAACCAGGGCAGAAAGAAGGAAAGGGAGAGGCUCUAGGCCUCACCUCCUUCACAGCUCAGCCCUGCCUUAACCAGCGCUGUCUCCCUUCCCAGGUACCUAGCCUAGAAGAAGUGGAAAACACUCUUUUUCUUCAGCGAGGCGGCCGACUUGCAGAUGCAGAGAUGCAGAUCUUUGUGAAGACCCUCACGGGCAAGACCAUCACCCUUGAGGUCGAGCCCAGUGACACCAUUGAGAAUGUCAAAGCCAAAAUUCAAGACAAGGAGGGUAUCCCACCUGACCAGCAGCGUCUGAUAUUUGCCAGCAAACAGCUGGAGGAUGGCCUCACGCUCAGAAUACAACAUCCAGAAAGAGUCCACCCUGCACCUGGUGCUGCGCCUGCGAAGUGGCAUUAUUGAGCCUUCCCUCCGCCAGCUCGCCCAGAAAUACAACUGCGACAAGAUGAUCUGCUGCAGGUGCUAUGCUCGCCUGCACCCCAUGCUGUCAACUGCUGCAAGAAGUGUGGCCACACCAACAACCUGCACCCAAGAAGAAGGUCAAAUGAGGCCCUUCCUUCCUUGAAGGGCAGCCUCCUGCCGAGGCCUCUGGAGCCUCAAUAAAGUGUCCCUUUGGUUGACUGGAGCAGCAAAAAAAAAGAAGAAGAAGAAGAAGAAGAAGAAGAAGUGGGAAACAAUACUGAGAACAAACAAUAGUUAGUUCCAAAAUCAGAAAGUAAUAAUGGAGAGAAUGGGCCUGGAAAUUAGUAGGCAAGCUCUGUUACAGGGGCUCGCUUCUAAAACACUGAAAUACUUACAUAUCCAUUGGUAAAUAGUUACUUCCGCAGUCAUUAGGAGCAGAAAAGGUGUGAUCCCUUUCCUCGCCCAUCAUAAGGGUCACAGCCAACACUCUUGUAACAAAAGACAAGUUAGCAGGAGAAAAGCAUAACAGCUUUAUUUGAUAACAAUUUUAUGUGACGUAAGAGCCCUCAGAAAUAGAGACCCAAACACCCAGGUCUACUUUUAUGGUUAGGUUUGAUGAAGAACGGACAGCCACGUAGAAAUGCUACUGGACGAAAGAGUAUGUAUGAUCUCAUGGUAAUAGACUAAGAAGGGAACCCCAGCAAGUCUUGUCUGUUCAGAUUCUUCUUGACCUCCUUCCUCCUGAGUAUGGAGUGGGACCCCUCUUGAAUGAGGGUCUUCAAGAAAGAAGUAUAAAGGGAGAGAAUGAUUUUUCCAGGUUCAUGGCUUGCUUUGGGAGAAAGAAAUUCUAGUUUCUAUGACCCAUCUUGGGAAAGAGGAAUUCUGGUUUCUAUGAGUCAGGAGAGAAAGAGGGGCAUGAGACAGGAGGGCAAGAAAAAGUCAGAGAGAACUUGUUUCUGAGGCUGCUGGUCGGGCCUUCCCAUCUUCUUUAGUUCAAAGUCUCAAUAUGCCAUCCUCUGGUCCUCUGAAGCGGUUUGUUUGUUUGUUCUGAGACAAGGUCUU